rnacentral:tRNA from 2 species
UGUAAGAAAGACUAAGGGAUAGU